rnacentral:rRNA from 1 species
UACGUAGGUGGCGAGCGUUGUCUGGAUUUACUGGGCGUAAAGAGCGCGCAGGCGGUCGUACAAGUCGCGUGUGAAAGCCCCCGGCUCAACUGGGGAGGGUCACGCGAUACUGUUCGACUCGAAGGCAGGAGAGGGAAGCGGAAUUCCCGGUGUAGUGGUGAAAUGCGUAGAUAUCGGGAGGAACACCAGUGGCGAAGGCGGCUUCCUGGCCUGUUCUUGACGCUGAGGCGCGAAAGCUAGGGUAGCAAACGGG